CAGCAGCACAAGCAAACCACAAUAACCCAACCGUUUGAACAGGAUGUCCACCAAAGCCACAAAACCCAGAUUCCAGGGCGGGCGUUGAGAGGGGAAACGAGCUGCAGCUCCUGAUCCUGCUUAUCAGGACCGCCAGCAGCACUGGGCCUGAGGAGAAGACCAGGAUAAAACAGAUGUUUUCACAGAGACGAAGAUGAUUGAGAGUUAAAGACGCCGGGACACUCUCAGAACGGAGGAUGGACCGAGGACACGUGAUCUGGAUCGUUCUGCUUUCUGUUAUCCCAGCAGGCAGGCCGGCGGGGGAUAUCUGUGCCUCGUGUCACGCCAACGCCACGUGCUCAUUCCUGCCGGACGGCUCGGGCCGUGUAUGCAUCUGCAUGUACGGCUUCAUCGGGAACGGGAGGACCCUCUGCCAAGACAAAGACGAAUGUCAGAUCGGAGCGAGGAACAUCUGUGGCCCCCGCGCCGCCUGCCACAACACCGUGGGCAGCUAUACCUGCACCUGUAUGGGGGGCUUCAGACCCUCGAACCACAGGACCUCCUUCACCCCGAACGACGGGACGUACUGCCAGGACAUUGAUGAGUGCGGGAGGCACCCUGCGGUGUGUGGAGAGGGGGCGCACUGUGUCAACCUGGAGGGGGACUUUGAGUGCCGCUGCCUCCUAGGUUACAGAGCGCACAACGCCUCAGAUCCCUUCCAGCCCCUCAGGGACAAGGGCUCCUGCAAGGUGGUGGACUGUGGCCCCCCUCCCGCCGGAGAGGCAGUGCGGGUGCUGUCCACCAACGGCACCGCCUACGGCAGCGUGGUCCUCAUGGGCUGCAAGGAUGGCUUCCUGUGGAGACGGGGAGACAACUCAUCCACAUGUGGGCCGGACGGAACCUGGAGCCGGCCAGCCCCGCUUUGUCAAGCAGGCAGGCCGGCGGGGGAUAUCUGUGCCUCGUGUCACGCCAACGCCACGUGCUCAAUCCUGCCGGACGGCUCGGGCCGUGUAUGCAUCUGCAUGUACGGCUUCAUCGGGAACGGGAGGACCCUCUGCCAAGACAAAGACGAAUGUCAGAUCGGAGCGAGGAAGAUCUGUGGCCCCCGCGCCUCCUGCCAAAACACCGUGGGCAGCUAUACCUGCACCUGUAUGGGGGGCUUCAGACCCUCGAACCACAGGACCUCCUUCACCCCCAACGACGGGACAUACUGCCAGGACAUUGAUGAGUGCGGGAGGCACCCUGCGGUGUGUGGAGAGGGGGCGCACUGUGUCAACCUGGAGGGGGACUUUGAGUGCCGCUGCCUCCUAGGUUACAGAGCGCACAACGCCUCAGAUCCCUUCCAGCCCCUCAGGGACAAGGGCUCCUGCAAGUUGGUGGACUGUGGCCCCCCUCCCGCCGGAGAGGCAGUGCGGGUGCUGUCCACCAACGGCACCGCCUACGGCAGCGUGGUCCUCAUGGGCUGCAAGGAUGGCUUCCUGUGGAGACGGGGAGACAACUCAUCCACAUGUGGGCCGGACGGAACCUGGAGCCGGCCAGCCCCGCUUUGUCAAGACAUUGAUGAGUGCGGGAGGCACCCUGCGGUGUGUGGAGAGGGGGCGCGCUGUGUCAACCUGGAGGGGGACUUUGAGUGCCGCUGCCUCCUAGGUUACAGAGCGCACAACGCCUCAGAUCCCUUCCAGCCCCUCAGGGACAAGGGCUCCUGCAAGGUGGUGGACUGUGGCCCCCCUCCCGCCGGAGAGGCAGUGCGGGUGCUGUCCACCAACGGCACCGCCUACGGCAGCGUGGUCCUCAUGGGCUGCAAGGAUGGCUUCCUGUGGAGACGGGGAGACAACUCAUCCACAUGUGGGCCGGACGGAACCUGGAGCCGGCCAGCCCCGCUUUGUCAAGAAAUCCAAUGUGGAGAACCUUUAUCUAAACCGCAUGCAAGGAUGUUGUGGGACAACGGUACCCGCGUGGGCAGCGUGCUGCACUACCAGUGUGAGGAGGGCUACCGCCCCUCCACCAACCGCCACUCCCCCUCCACCAACCGCUCCGUGUGCGGAGAGGACGGACAGUGGGAGGAGUCAGACCUGCGCUGUGAAGCUAGGUGUAGGCUCACUCCAUCGCUGGCCCAUGCGGAGGUGGCCUGGUACAACAGUAGCGUGACCGUGCAUCGCUGCGUGGACGGAUACCGCAGCAGCAGAGGGAGCAGCGUCUCUGUUUGUGGCAAUGCUGGGCAGUGGCAGAAGGCAACACUGAAGUGCAUAGAAAUCCAAUGUGGAGAACCUUUAUCUAAACCGCAUGCAAGGAUGCUGUGGGACAACGGUACCCGCGUGGGCAGCGUGCUGCACUACCAGUGUGAGGAGGGCUACCGCCCCUCCACCAACCGCCACUCCCCCUCCACCAACCGCUCCGUGUGCGGAGAGGACGGACAGUGGGAGGAGUCAGACCUGCGCUGUGAAGCUAGGUGUGGGCCCGCUCCAUCGCUUGCCAAUGCGGAGGUGGCCUGGUACAACAGUAGCGUGACCGUGCAUCGCUGCGUGGACGGAUACCGCAGCAGCAGAGGGAUCAGCGUCUCUGUGUGUGGCAAUGCUGGGCAGUGGCAGAAAGCAACGCUGAAGUGCACAGAAGUUAAACCAGCUGUGAAUGACCUGCGCGUCUUUAAUGAAAAGUGUCUGCAGUGGAGGGCAGAGAAGAAUGACGUAGACAAGGAGAUUUAUAAGGUGGUGUUCAGAGGCACCAGAGACUACCAGGGGGCUUUCCGCCAUGAGAAGAGGCAACUCCUCCACUCUUGGGACAAGUGGGUGGAUGUCUGUCUCAGUCUCCUGCCUGCCACCAACUACACCAUCUCCGUCAUUGCGUUAUCCACCAGAUUCACUGCCAACAUCACCACCAGCACCAGCCUACAAGUGCCUCAGGCUCCGCUAGUCCUCUACCGAGAGCUGGACGCUCCCCCCGCCACCUUGAGGCUCAGGCGCUCAGCUCACACUUUAGACGCCAUCAGUGUGUACCAGGUGGUCGUGGUGCCUUUAGACGGGACUGUAGUGUUCGACUGCAGAUCCCGGGGGAUACCUGGCUCCGCUCAGGGGGUGCCCCCGUCCAGCCAGUACAUCACAGGGCAGUUCCCUCUCGGCCACAUGAACGACACGGAGAUGAUUUUCACCGUCGGGGACGGACGGUUCCACGGCGGCUUCCUUAAUGCGCCACUCAAGAGAGGAACAAGCUACUACGUCAUUCUGCGAGUGGUCAGCCAGUGGAAAGAGGCGGGUCAUUCGAUGGGAUUCAAGUCAACUCUUGAAUUUUUCGUCAAAAUAUCCAAGUCAUUUGGAGUCAUAAAAAGUUUUAUUUAAAAUAGUAACUGAUGACUGAUUAUUUUUAGGACACUUCUUGACAGUAAAACAUUUUAUUUCAUUUAAGAGCAUGAUCAUGGGAAGAUACAGGCAGCAGUUUACCAAGCAUCUUGAAGGAGACGAUUGGUAGACAUGAUUCUGAUAGGGAGACAGAGGCAACAGAGGGGAGAGGAGUGACCAGGAUGGAGAGCUUAAGAUUGGCCACGGCUGAGGUCAGCAAUGGCGGGAGAGACAAGUUAAAUUGCACUACGGAUAUGGACAUGUCUCCAAGGCUGCAAGCAAGGCUGCAAGACGGUUAAAGGAAUCUACACAACAAAGAAGUCAGCAGAUUGGCCUCAGCAUCAGACCCGUGGCUACUGUGAAAUUGCAAAUUAUCUAAACACCUAUCAGUUAGAGAAAGGAAGGGAGAUAGAUAUCUCAAGAUCCAAGGGGAAUGAGUGCAAAUACAUUUGAAAUUGACUAGUAACUAUAUCAACAAGGUUUAUAUAAUUUGGCUAUGCUAUAUAUUUAUAAUUAUGAUUCAGGUUUUGUAGUUAUAAAUUUUACUUAGGAUUAAUAUUUCCACAACAGUAAUAUGGAAAGGGUAUGUUAAUAGUAAAAGGGUAAAAACUUUGGAAUGAAAUUAACUUAAAUAUUAAAAUUUUCAGGCUUUCAACAGCUCCUGUGUUCUCUGGGCGAAAGUAACAGUUUGAUAUGUAUCCAACCCAGGUACAUCAUAUGUCAUGAGAGUGUCCUCGCUGUUGGC